UGCCAUUUGAAUUUAUGGUCCUGGCGGC
rnacentral:sRNA from 1 species